rnacentral:rRNA from 1 species
AGCGAACGCUGGCGGCAGGCCUAACACAUGCAAGUCGAACGAACCUUUCGGGGUUAGUGGCUGACGGGGGCGUAACCCGUGGGAACGUUCACUUAGGUGCGGCAUAACCCCGGGAAACGUGUGCUAAUACCGAACGUGCGCUUCGGGGGAAAAACACCUCGCCUUUCGAGCGGCCUGCGUCUGAUUAGCCAGAUGGUGGCGGUAGUGGCUCACCAAGGCGCCGAUCAGUAGCUGGUCUAAGAGGAUGAUCAGCCACAUUGGGACUGAGACACGGCCCAAACUCCUACGGGAGGCAGCAGGGGGGAAUCUGGCGCAAUGGGCGAGAGCCUGACGCAGCCAUGCCGCGUGAAUGAUGAAGGUCUUAGGAUGGUAAAAUUCUUUCACCGGGGACGAUAAUGACGGUACCCGGAGAAGAAGCCCCGGCUAACUUCGUG